UGGCGGACGGGUGAGUAAUGUCUGGGAAACUGCCUGAUGGAGGGGAUAACUACUGGAAACGGUAGCUAAUACCGCAUAACGUCGCAAGACCAAAGAGGGGGACCUUCGGGCCUCUUGCCAUCGGAUGUGCCCAGAUGGGAUUAGCUAGUGGUGGGGUAAAGGCUCACCUAGGCGACGAUCCCUAGCUGGUCUGAGAGGAUGACCAGCCACACUGGAACUGAGACACGGUCCAG
rnacentral:rRNA from 1 species